AAUUUAGGUGCUGGGUGUAAAUAACAAUUCCCAAAUUGAAAUUACCAUGCAAGUCGAACAUCAGCAAGCCCAUGGUGGCAUAAUAGGCCAUCCCAAAAAGCCCACCCCAGUGACCAGUUCGGCAGAGCAGGUCCCUUCUUCUUCUUCUUAUUCAAUCCCCCAUUUUUUUGGGGGAUUGCUGCUGGCGCUCAAAAAAACUUCUGGGUAUUUCAGACAAAGCUUGUAGCUUUUGCAUGGCUAAACAGGUUUGGACUUGGUUAUGAAAUUCAAAAGCAACUUCUUUCUUAGAGUUUUAUCAAGUUUUAAACUUUAAUUAGCAUAUACUCCCCUGAUCAGUGUAUCUCUUCCUGAUUUCUCAUUGUAUUGCCUCGAAACACUUUCAUGGCCAUAUGAAAAUGUCAAAUUUUGGGCCCGAAGGCCUAUAUUUCAUUCUUUGUUUUUGCUCAAAAUAUAUUAUGGAUUCAUUUUCUUCAACUUAAAUAUCGUAGCCUGCAAACUCAAAUUUCCGUAUGCGUAUGGUAAUUUUUGUUUCUGUCAUUAUUGUUAUUAUUGGUCUUUGCUUGAUUUGCUACCACUAGCAAAGAUGGUUAUUAUUGUUACUUUAGGAGGAUACAGAGCUAGUGGUAGGAAUGCUGUUUAUUUCUUAGUUUCAGAUGGAAAAUUGGGAACUAUGGUUGUCUAGGCAGGAAGAAGGCAAAUGUUAUCAACCAGUGAGAAAGCUGGCAAUGAAAAGUUGUAUAAAGGGGAUCCAUGCAUAUACUGAUUACAGGGCUGGGUUAUGAAUCAAAUAUAAUAGAGUCUUUCUGUUUCCACGUUUUUCUUUCGAGUGUUUUCUAACCCUCCCCACCUUCGGCUAAGUGUUGAAGAGGAAGUUCACUUUUGACUCUGAUAAAAUGUGGAAAUGCAUAACAACGGUGGAAGUUCACUUUGGUAAUGGACUGGAGGAUUUACAUAGAUACAGAGAUGGUUAGGAGAUUCUGGUCUUAACUCUACUCUGUGCACGAAUAGCAUUCUUUGAGGUUAGAGUGGGAAAUGACAGAUGAGUUUAAAGCCAUAACCC